GGAAGGAACCCAUCCUUCUCUAGGACCCAGGGGAAUUCAGGAGCCCUGGCCGCCUCCCACUCGGUUUUCCCUCCCAGCUCUCUGGGCCCCUUCCCCUGUGGUUCCCUGGGGAAUUGGAAAUAGCAGAGCUGCAAUAACAGUCUGGGCACAGAGGCAAGUCUCCAUGGAGGCAGGAAGCCCCCUAGAUCCCCCUCAGCCACCCGCCCGGCCAUCUCCUGGUUUUCCUGACUUUCUCCCCCUCUCAAGAGGCAGGCGGGGCUGCGGCCUGCUGAAGGGGUAACCUCGCCUGUUCCCACCCGGACCCCUCUGGCCCAGGGCUCCGGAGCUGGUAGAGGCCCAGCUGAUCCUCAGUCCAGGCAGGAAGAGAGGGGAUCUCAUCCCGGGGCCUUCCUCAGUGAAGGGAUUGUGCAGAAACUGCCGUCUGGGGCCUGCUGAGCGGGAGAGCCCCUUCUGUCAAGAAAAGCAUGCAAAGUGUAAAGUUUGAUGAACGAUCCCAGAGUGAAGACACCCAUGGAACUACCACCUAGAUCGAGAAAUGGAACAUCACAGCAGCUGGCAACUUCCGGCAGGAAGCUCCUUGAAGUUCUGCUUAUGUCAGCACUUGGCUACAUCUAAAAUGAUUUUUCUUCAACAAGAUUUUUGAUGACUGAAUUCUAUGUUUAGAUCAUAAUUUAACUAGUAACCUCCCUUUGUUGGUUUCAUUUUACUUUCUUAGCUCUUAUAAACGAGGCUGUAAUAAGCAACCUUGCACGUAAA